UCCCUGGUGGCCUAACAAUUAUGAUUCCUGGUUUUCACCCAGGAGGCCCGGGUUCGAUUCCAGGGCAGGGAA
rnacentral:tRNA from 1 species